UCUCCGAUAUAUAACCACAGGGGCUCAGGAUUACUUUACUACGUAGUUAAGUCCACGAAUGCCAGUUGAAACUUCACCGUGCCAGAAGGAAGCCGUGUGUAAACCGUGUCCAGAAGCGCUGUCCACUUCUCUGGGCUCGAAGGCGUCUGGGGAGAAAUGGACGCCAUGUGCUACCUGACCAGAGGAGUAGAAUGACACCUUCAUCACUCGAGAAUGGCAACAUUACAAAGUGCUUCCUCCAGAAAGCGACAGGGCCGAGGUGUCGAUUCCCUGCCAGGCCGCUCUGCCGUGACACAUCCGUCCAUCUGUCGGGCUCACAGAGCCAUCAAUCACAGCUGAGUGCAGACGGAAAUGAAAAGAGUGCACAGGUGAACGACAGCUCAGCCUCAGGGAUGGGAUGAGAUCCAGGAGGAGGAUGAGAGAGGAAGAAGAGAGCGAUGGAGACUCGGAGAGGAAGAGAGGU